UGAGCAAUCUGCCCUUCUCUUCGGAAUAAGCGUUGGAAACGACGUCUAAUGCCGAAUACGACCUCCUUUCGCAUGAUCGGAGGUGGAAAGCUCCGGCGGAGAAGGAUGAGCUCGCGGCCUAUCAGCUAGUUGGUGUGGGUAAUGGCCCACCAAGGCGACGACGGGUAGCCGGCCUGAGAGGGCGACCGGCCACACUGGGACUGAGACACGGCCCAGACCUCCGUACGGGAGG
rnacentral:rRNA from 1 species